ensembl:lncRNA
GGAACAUUUAUUGAGUAAAUGAAUGUCUUCUGAUUAACACCAUAUGAAGAUCAUCAAAGGAACUGUGGAUCGGAGUUCUGCACCACAUCAUUAUUGUGCACGCAUGGAUCCUGUGGAUGUAUGCACAUGACACCCUAGAAGACAGCCAUUCCGAGUGGAUGGAGAAAGUGUCACUGGCUCUCCAGGCCCUCACAUACAUUGUCCUCAACCAUUGCUGUUUAAAAGACAUCCAGAAAUACCUCAGCUUCAGAAUCUGCCAUCAGAGGAACAGGGAGGUGAAGUAGCCAUGGACACUCUGGGGCAAGCAUCACGAGCAGAUUGUGGUUGACACGAUUGUGGUUGACAAGUAUCCCUACAACUGAGGACAGGACACAGACAGCACAGUUGAUC